UACGUAGGGUGCAAGCGUUAAUCGGAAUUACUGGGCGUAAAGCGUGCGCAGGCGGUUUUGUAAGUCUGUCGUGAAAUCCCCGGGCUCAACCUGGGAAUUGCGAUGGAGACUGCAAGGCUAGAAUCUGGCAGAGGGGGGUAGAAUUCCACGUGUAGCAGUGAAAUGCGUAGAUAUGUGGAGGAACACCGAUGGCGAAGGCAGCCCCCUGGGUCAAGACUGACGCUCAUGCACGAAAGCGUGGGGAGCAAACAGG
rnacentral:rRNA from 1 species